UACGAAGGGGGCUAGCGUUGCUCGGAAUGACUGGGCGUAAAGGGCGCGUAGGCGGAUUGGUUAGUCAGACGUGAAAUUCCUGGGCUCAACCUGGGGGCUGCGUUUGAGACGGCUGAUCUAGAGUUUGGAAGAGGGUCGUGGAAUUCCCAGUGUAGAGGUGAAAUUCGUAGAUAUUGGGAAGAACACCGGUGGCGAAGGCGGCGACCUGGUCCUUGACUGACGCUGAGGCGCGAAAGCGUGGGGAGCAAAC
rnacentral:rRNA from 1 species